GAGUUUGAUCCUGGCUCAGAACGUACGCUGGCGGCACGCCUAACACAUGCAAGUCGAACGAAGUAGCAAUACUUAGUGGCAGACGGGUGAGUAACAUGUAGGUAUCUACCCUUUGGCCUGGAAUAACACGAGGAAACUUGUGCUAAUACCAGAUAAGUCUUUACGGAGAAAGCUUUAUGCACCAUUGGAUGAGCCUGCACUUGAUUAGUUUGUUGGUGGGGUAAUGGCCUACCAAGACUGUGAUCAAUAGCUGAUUUGAGAGGAUGAUCAGCCACAUUGGGACUGAGACACGGCCCAAACUCCUACGGGAGGCAGCAGUGGGGAAUCUUGCACAAUGGAGGAAACUCUGAUGCAGCGAUGCCGCGUGAGUGAAGAAGGCCUUUGGGUUGUAAAGCUCUUUCGUCGGGGAAGAAAAUGACUGUACCCGAAUAAAAAAGUCCGGCUAACUUCGUGCCAGCAGCCGCGGUAAUACGAAGGGACCUAGCGUAGUUCGGAAUUACUGGGCUUAAAGAGUUCGUAGGUGGUUGAAAAAGUUAGUGGUGAAAUCCCAGAGCUUAACUCUGGAACUGCCAUUAAAACUUUUCAGCUAGAGUAUGAUAGAGGAAAGCAGAAUUUCUAGUGUAGAGGUGAAAUUCGUAGAUAUUAGAAAGAAUACCAAUUGCGAAGGCAGCUUUCUGGAUUAUUACUGACACUGAGGAACGAAAGCAUGGGGUAGCGAAGAGGAUUAGAUACCCUCGUAGUCCAUGCCGUAAACGAUGUGUGUUAGACGUUGGAAAUUUAUUUUCAGUGUCGCAGCGAAAGCGAUAAACACACCGCCUGGGGAGUACGACCGCAAGGUUAAAACUCAAAUGAAUUGACGGGGACCCGCACAAGUAGUGGAGCAUGUGGUUUAAUUCGAAGAUACGCGCAGAACCUUACCAACACUUGACAUGUUCGUCGCGACUUUAAGAGAUUAAAGUUUUCGGUUCGGCCGGACGAAACACAGGUGCUGCAUGGCUGUCGUCAGCUCGUGUCGUGAGAUGUUGGGUUAAGUCCCGCAACGAGCGCAACCCUCACUUUUAGUUGCCAUCAUUUAGUUGGGCACUCUGAAAGAACUGCCAGUGAUAAGCUGGAGGAAGGUGGGGAUGACGUCAAGUCCUCAUGGCCCUUACGUGUUGGGCUACACACGUGCUACAAUGGUAUCCACAACAGGAAGCAAGACUGCGAAGUUAAGCAAAUCCUUAAAAGAUACCUCAGUUCGGAUUGCACUCUGCAACUCGAGUGCAUGAAGCUGGAAUUACUAGUAAUCGUGGAUCAGCGUGCCACGGUGAAUGCGUUCCCGGGUCUUGUACACACCGCCCGUCACACCAUGGGAGUUGGUUCUACCUUAAGGCAAGGUUUCAAACCCUUGACCACGGUAUAGUCAGCGACUGGGGUGAAGUCGUAACAAGGUA
rnacentral:rRNA from 2 species